rnacentral:lncRNA from 1 species
UGUUUAAGCUUAAAAUGUUCUGGUUGUUAUCACUUUUUUAGGCUCACAGAAGGGAGGCAGGCACAGAUGGAAAAACGUUUUUCUUUUCGUCCUCCUCUACCAGUACGCUCCCGCCUGCCGCGCUCCGCCCUUGUGCGGCGCACGAUCGGAGUCAGUGAUUAAGCCGGCUCCAAGACAAAGCGGAGGCCGAGCCCAGGAAGCAAGCGCGCUCUCCGCCCCGCCUGGAGGGAGGGCCCAACCACAGCACAGCCGCGCUCACUCCUCACCCGGACGUGACCUAGUUCUCACAGAGGCCCGGCCUCUUCCGCCACAACUCCGGCCCGCGGUCCCGCCCCGUUCCGUGAAUGGUCGGCC